rnacentral:lncRNA from 1 species
GUUUCUGUGAGAAAAAAAGUCCUGAGCAAUUUUGGGAAUUAAAGGGAAAGAAGAUCCUUUUGCCUCGCACUGGCGCAUGUCAAUUGUGAAUAUACUUACCAAAUAUAUUUUCUUUAUCAUGAUACUCAUGUCGACAUUAUGAAGAAGUACACAUCAUAGGAAAAAUGCACAAAAUACAGAUAAAAUAAUUAAAACAUCCUAUUUUGUGUGCAUCUCCUGCCAAAUCAGUAUUUGUUGCAUAUAUAUAUA